CGAAUGGGUCCAAAAGACUCCCAAAACCUACCGUGCUCCCCUAUGUGGAAAAACAGGAAAGCCCUCCGGGGCAUCGGAAAUCUGAGAAGUUUGAAGAACUGCGGCCUACGGCGCAUGACUAAAACAAAUAAUUA
rnacentral:misc_RNA from 1 species